GGAGUCACGCCAGAAAUCUUACCCGGAGAGACAGCAGAAUGAAGGUCAAGCUGAAGACUUUACCAGACAAGCUGAGAGGUGGUGCAUGGCCGUCGCCAGCUCGUGCCGUGAGAUGUCCUGUUAAGUCAGGUAACGAGCGAGAUCCCUGCCGCUAGUUGCUAUCAUUAUUCUCAGGAAUAGUGGGGCGAAUUAGUGGGACUGCCGUUGUUAAAACGGAGGAAGGAAGGGGCUACGGCAGGUCAGUAUGCCCCGAAACUCUGGGGCCACACGCGGGCUGCAAUGGUAGCGACAAUGAGUUCCAAACUCGAAAGAGAGUGGCAAUCCCUAAACGCUACCACAGUUAUGACUGAGGGCUGCAACUCGCCCUCACGAAUAUGGAAUCCCUAGUAACCGCGUGUCAUUACCGCGCGGUGAAUACGUCCCUGCUCCUUGCACACACCGCCCGUCGUUUCAUCGAAGUUUGCUUUUAGCGAGGUGAUGUUUAAUUGGCAUUAUCGAACUUGAGGUAAGCAACGAGGGAAAAGUCGUAACAAGGUGACCGUAGGGGAACCUGCGGUCGGAUCA
rnacentral:rRNA from 1 species